UACGAGGGGAGCAAGCGUUGUUCGGAUUUACUGGGCGUAAAGGGCGCGUAGGCGGUCGUGACAAGUCACUUGUGAAAUCUCCGGGCUUAACUCGGAACGGUCAAGUGAUACUGUCGGACUAGAGUGCAGAAGGGGCAACUGGAAUUCUCGGUGUAGCGGUGAAAUGCGUAGAUAUCGAGAGGAACACCUGCGGCGAAGGCGGGUUGCUGGGCUGACACUGACGCUGAGGCGCGAAAGCCAGGGGAGCGAACGGG
rnacentral:rRNA from 1 species